rnacentral:rRNA from 1 species
UACAGAGGUCCCAAGCGUUGUUCGGAUUCAUUGGGCGUAAAGGGUGCGUAGGCGGCGCGGUAAGUCGGGUGUGAAAUCUCGGAGCUUAACUCCGAAACUGCAUUCGAUACUGCCGUGCUUGAGGACUGGAGAGGAGACUGGAAUUUACGGUGUAGCGGUGAAAUGCGUAGAUAUCGUAAGGAAGACCAGUGGCGAAGGCGGGUCUCUGGACAGUUCCUGACGCUGAGGCACGAAGGUCAGGGGAGCAAAACGG